rnacentral:rRNA from 1 species
AUACGUAGGGGGCGAGCGUUGUCCGGAAUGAUUGGGCGUAAAGGGCGCGUAGGCGGCCCGGUAAGUCUGGAGUGAAAGUCCUGUUUUUAAGAUGGGAAUUGCUUUGGAUACUGUCGGGCUUGAGUGCAGGAGAGGUAAGUGGAAUUCACAGUGUAGCGGUGAAAUGCGUAGAGAUUGGGAGGAACACCAGUGGCGAAGGCGACUUACUGGACUGUAACUGACGCUGAGGCGCGAAAGUGUGGGGAGCAAACAGGAUUAGAUACCCUGGUAGUCCACACUGUAAACGAGGAAUGCUUGGUGUAGGGGGUAUCGACCCCUUCUGUGCCGCAGUCAACACAAUAAGCAUUCCGCCUGGGGAGUACGGCCGCAAGGUUGAAACUCAAAUGAAUUGACGGGG